rnacentral:rRNA from 1 species
AAGAAAGUAAAUAAGGGCGCAUGGCGGAUGCCUUGGCUCUCGGAGGCGAUGAAGGACGUGAUAAGCUGCGAUAAGCUUCGGGUAGGUGCAAAUGACCUUUGAUCCGAAGAUUUCCGAAUGGGACAACCCGGCAUUCUGAAGGAAUGUCAUCCAACUUUGUUGGAGGCUAACGCAGGGAACUGAAACAUCUUAGUACCUGCAGGAAAAGAAAAUAAAUAAUGAUUCCCCUAGUAGUGGCGAGCGAACGGGGAUUAGCCCAAACCACCCAUGUUACGGCAUGUGUGGGGUUGUAGGACCACGCUCUCGCAAGACAGUUAUUGAGAAGAAACGACUGGAAAGUCGUGCCAUAGACGGUGAUAGCCCGGUAUUCUAAGGUAACCGAAGCGUAGUGGUAUCCUGAGUAGCGCGGAGCACGAGGAAUUCUGCGUGAAUCAGCCGGGACCAUCCGGUAAGGCUAAAUACUCCCGAGAGACCGAUAGCGAACCAGUACUGUGAAGGAAAGGUGAAAAGCACUUCGAAUAGAAGAGUGAAAUAGUCCCUGAAACCAUGCGCCUACAAGCGGUCGGAGCAGCUUAAGCUGUGACGGCGUGCCUUUUGCAUAAUGAACCUACGAGUUACUUUUUCCGGCAAGGUUAAGCAUCUUGAGAUGUGGAUCCGAAGCGAAAGCGAGUCUGAACAGGGCGGAUAGUCGGAAGGAGUAGACGCGAAACCAAGUGAUCUACCCUUGGGCAGGUUGAAGGUUAGGUAACACUAACUGGAGGACCGAACCGAUAAGCGUUGAAAAGCUUCCGGAUGACCUGAGGGUGGGGGUGAAAGGCUAAUCAAACUUGGAGAUAGCUCGUACUCCCCGAAAUGCAUUUAGGUGCAGCCUUGAGAGUUACUAAUGUGAGGUAGAGCGACUGAUAAGAUGCGAGGGCUUCACCGCCUAUCAAGUCUUGAUAAACUCCGAAUGCGCAUUAGUUCUAUCUCAGGAGUGAGGGCAUGGGUGCUAAGGUCCAUGUCCUAAAGGAGAAGAAUCCAGACCAUCAGCUAAGGUCCCCAAAUAAACACUAAGUUGAACUAACGAAGUCAGAUUGCUAAGACAGCUAGGAUGUUGGCUUGGAAGCAGCCAUUCAUUUAAAGAGUGCGUAACAGCUCACUAGUCGAGGAGUUUGGCGUGGAUAAUAAUCGGGCAUAAGUGUUUUACCGAAGCUAUGGGAUACGUAAGUAUCGGUAGGGGAGCAUUCCACUCAGCGUUGAAGGCGAAGCGUGAGCUUUACUGGAGCGUGUGGAAAAGCAAAUGUAGGUAUAAGUAACGAUAAAGGGGGUGAGAAACCCCCUCGCCGCAAGACUAAGGUUUCCUGAUCAACGCUAAUCGGAUCAGGGUUAGUCGGGUCCUAAGGCUCAGCCGAACGGUGAGGCCGAUGGCAGAACAGGUUAAUAUUCCUGUACUACCUAUAGGAGUGAUGUGGAGACGGAGGAGUGACAACGCCGCGGACUGACGGAAUAGUCCGUUAAAGGGUGUAGAUGUUGAUUAUCCCAGGCAAAUCCGGGAUAAGAGUCGAACCUGAUAGUAUACCAAUUUCCUCGGAAAACGGUAAUAGUGCGUGUAAACAUACUCCCAAGAAAAUCCGCUAAACUUAAUCUUAUAGGUACCCGUACCGUAAACGGACACACGUAGUCGGGUUGAAUAUACUCAGGCGCUUGAGUGAAUCACGGUUAAGGAACUAGGCAAAUUGACCCUGUAACUUCGGGAUAAAGGGUCCCUACCCGGUGACGGGAGGGCGCAGAGAAUAGGUCCAGGCAACUGUUUAACAAAAACACAGGGCUGUGCAAAAUUGAAAGAUCACGUAUACAGCCUGACACCUGCCCGGUGCUGGAAGGUUAAGAGGAGAUGUCAUCGCAAGAGAAGCAUUGAAUUGAAGCCCCAGUAAACGGCGGCCGUAACUAUAACGGUCCUAAGGUAGCGAAAUUCCUUGUCGGGUAAGUUCCGACCUGCACGAAUGGUGUAAUGAUCU